AUGCUCCGGCUCCGAAGCUGCACCCUCACCCAGAUCCUCUCUUCUCCCUACGCCUCCCAUGUCUCUCCUCUCCACCGCCUCCUCUCCGCCGCAGCCGCCUCCGGCAUUUCCCCGGCAGCCACCCCUGGCUUCGCCGCAGAGGAGUACCUCGUCUCCGCCUGCGGCCUCACCCGAGCGCAGGCCGCCAAGGCCUCCGCCAAGCUCUCCCACCUCAAGUCCCCGGCCAAGCCCGACGCCGUCCUCGCCUUCCUCGCCGGCCUCGGCCUCUCCGGCACCGACGUCGCGGCCGUCGUCGCCAAGGACCCGCGGUUCCUCUGCGCCAAAGUGGAGAGAACUCUGUCCCCCGUCGUCGUCGCGCUGACCGGCCUCGGCCUCUCGCGCUCUGAGGUCGCGCGCAUCGCCGUGCUCGUCCCCGGCAAACUCCGCUGCAGAUCCAUCGUCUCUGAUCUACAGUACUACCUGGCUAUCUUCGGGUGCAUGGCUCCGUCCGCUCAAGCACGGCUCCUGGCUCCUUGGUUCUGA
rnacentral:rRNA from 1 species